UAUGGUUCCAAGAAAAUGAAACAGAAAGAGGUCCUUUCAGUUCUGUUAGAUCCAAAGCAAACACCCCUGUAGGCCAGGUGGGGGCUGCAGGGGCUGUAUUUUGACUUAGGCAUUAACCAGGGUAACCAAGUGAUCAAGUGCUCUAAACUGAAGGAGGAAAGGAAAGCAGCAGGGCUCCUGCUGACGACCUUUUUUUGAGCAGGUGACUCCUCCCUCCUCAGCUGGGUGAUUGGAUUGCCUCGACUACACUCUGAUGCCCAGGAGGCCUAUCCAGCAGCCACCAUGACUCCUGUGUGGCUCCAGCUCGUGCCCAAAUAGGCUCCUUAUGAUGCACAGGGUCUCCCAAGUGGCCCCAGCUCCUGGGCUCAGGUAAUACCAGCUUCUUCAUUUGUCCCUCCAGCCCUAAGACGGGUAGUGGCUUCCCAGUUGUUGGUCUUUGGGAUGCUUCCUCCAAUCCAGAAUAUUCUUUCAGCCACUCUAACACCUUUGUAACCAGUUCCCUGUGUUUCGUAACUCUAGUUAACAACGUCCUCGCAUGGAUUUGCUUUCCUGGAAGACCCCCGGUGGAUACAGGAGAGAGAGGAACUUUCUCCUCUCCCAGUUUCUAUAAUGAGGAUCUCCCUAGACACAGGCCUUGUCUCUCUUUACCCAUUUACUCCUUCCACCCCUGGGGCACUGGAGUGAGUAAUCUGAUCAUAAUUUUGGAAGAAUUGCUAGGCCUCUUGUUUCAGCUCUGCUUCUUCCUUUUUGGAGUGAACCUUCCAAGAGAGUACAACACCUCUCUGUACUGUCUGUCCCGCCUGAGCCCGCCCUGGUCCAGCAAAUGCCUACCUGUGGACUCUUUUCUGUGGGCAGCAAACUCCCUGUUAUGGGAUAUGACUGGAGAAGAGAGAAUUGUCUCCUGGUGAACAGACUCCAGAAAGAGUGGCACAACCCUUUCCACCACCACCAUCCAGCCUGUUGUUCCGCGACUUGCUUAACCAACCGGGGACUCAGACUUCUCACCCCUAAGUAAGGAAGACGAUCAGAAUAUGCCAUCCCCAAAUAUGCCAUUUUGGCAUAAGGAUCAUUUUGAGCUGAAGGCAACCAAGAAUCAAUAGACACAGGAAGAGUUCCCGGCCUAAAAGCAGUGUAUAAAUUUCCCUUUGAGGCAGGGGCUCCUUCGCCCACCAGGAAGAGAAGAGUCAAGGAAGAAGACAGGGAGCUGUCAACACCAAGAUGAGUUUGCAUAAACCAACUUUACUAAAAGAGCCCCGAUUUUCCAUUAGCACCCUCAUAUAUUUCCGAGUUGUCCCCACAUUUCAUCAUCCCAUGAAACCCAAAGCCCUUUUCCUUUAUUAAGAUGAUAUAUAAGCCCCUGAAUCUGCUUUUUUGAGUUUCUAUUCUGUGAACUCCUGUGCACAUAAAUAUUAAUAAAAAUUGUGUGCUAUUUCUCCUUUUAA